rnacentral:rRNA from 1 species
CUUUCCGUAGGGUGAACCUGCGGAAGGAUCAUUACCGAGUUUUCGGGCGUUCGGCUCGACUCUCCCACCCUUUGUGAACGUACCUCUGUUGCUUUGGCGGCUCCGGCCGCCAAAGGACCUCCAAACUCCAGUCAGUAAACGCAGACGUCUGAUAAACAAGUUAAUAAACUAAAACUUUCAACAACGGAUCUCUUGGUUCUGGCAUCGAUGAAGAACGCAGCGAAAUGCGAUAAGUAAUGUGAAUUGCAGAAUUCAGUGAAUCAUCGAAUCUUUGAACGCACAUUGCGCCCCUUGGUAUUCCGGGGGGCAUGCCUGUUCGAGCGUCAUUACAACCCUCAAGCUCUGCUUGGAAUUGGGCACCGUCCUCACUGCGGACGCGCCUCAAAGACCUCGGCGGUGGCUGUUCAGCCCUCAAGCGUAGUAGAAUACACCUCGCUUUGGAGUGGUUGGCGUCGCCCGCCGGACGAACCUUCUGAACUUUUCUCAAGGUUGACCUCGGAUCAGGUAGGGAUACCCGCUGAACUUAAGCAUAUCAAUAAGCGGAGGAA